CAUGCUCCCUAUCUGAUUGUCAAGAGAGAUUUUUAUCCUCCCGGACUUGAUCCCCUUCUGAUUAGAGAAAUAUCUGCCAAAAAAAAAAAAAAAAAGUCAAAAAAGAAGAAAAAGGAGAACCUAAGGAAUGUGAAUGUGCCAUAGAAAUUUAUCUUGGUGGUAACCCAGCCUCAAACAGACAAACUGUGUGCAAAGCUAUU
rnacentral:lncRNA from 13 species